AGGACGAACGCUGGCGGCGUGCUUAACACAUGCAAGUCGAGCGGAAAGGCCCUUCGGGGUACUCGAGCGGCGAACGGGUGAGUAACACGUGAGUAAUCUGCCCCUAGCUCUGGGAUAGCUCCGGGAAAACCCGGGAUUAAUACCAGAUACAACCACUUUAGACAUCUCUUGUGGUGGAAAGAAUUUCGGCUAGGGAUGAACUCGCGGCCUAUCAGCUUGUUGGUGAGGUAACGGCUCACCAAGGCGACGACGGGUA
rnacentral:rRNA from 1 species